CGUCUAUAUACGUAUAGCAUAUCAAUAAGCGGAGGAAAAGAAACUAACAAGGAUUCCCUUAGUAACGGCGAGUGAAGCGGGAAGAGCUCAAAUUUGAAAUCUUCAAGGUUCUACCUUGACGAAUUGUAGUUUAAAGAAGUGUUUUCUGUUAGAGGAGUAGGCAAAAGUUCCUUUGAAUAGGGACAUCAUAGAGGGUGAGAAUCCCGUAUUUGGUUAUUCUUUCUAGCUUUGUGAUACACUUUCAAAGAGUCGGAUUGUUUGGGAAUGCAGUCCAAAAUGGGUGGUAAAUUUCAUCUAAAGCUAAAUAUUGGCGAGAGACCGAUAGCGAACAAGUACCGUGAGGGAAAGAUGAAAAGAACUUUGAAAAGAGAGUUAAACAGUACGUGAAAUUGUCAAAAGGGAAGCGUUUGACACCAGUGUUGUUUUUCCGAAAAUCAAUUAAGAAUGGCUUGAUUUUGUGUUGUAUUGACCUUAUCAGCUUUCUUCACUCUUUUUCGAGUCUUUCUUAAUGCACUUUUCGGUUAACAAGUCAACAUCAAUUUCUUUUGUUGUAAAAGGGUAUUUGGAAGGUGGCUUUCUUUUCGGAGAAAGUGUUUAUAGCCUUAUACCUCUACAAUCGGAGAGAUUGAGGUCUGCAGCGUAGAUCCUUCGGGGCUAGAUACACUUGUGCUAAGUUAUAGCUUUUCAUAGACAACUUGUUGACUAUGUUUAGUCAUGUAGCUUACCCGCUUGUGCUAUUUUACCUACGCUUAGGAUGUUGAGUCAUCACACAUCUCU
rnacentral:rRNA from 1 species